rnacentral:rRNA from 1 species
UGGGGAAUCUUGCGCAAUGGACGAAAGUCUGACGCAGCGACGCCGCGUGGGUGAUGAAGGCCUUCGGGUUGUAAAGCCCUGUGGGGAGGGACGAAGAAGUAGAGGCUAAUACCCGCUAUGAUGACGGUACCUCUUUAGCAAGCACCGGCCAACUUCGUGCCAACAGCCGCGGUAAUACAGAGGGUGCCAACGUUGUUCGGAAUUACUGGGCGUAAAGCGUGUGUAGGCGGCCUCGCAAGUCGGAUGUGAAAGCCCCGGGCUCAACCCGGGAAGUGCACUCGAUACUGCUUGGCUAGAGUCUCGGAGAGGUUGGUGGAAUUCUCGGUGUAGAGGUGAAAUUCGUAGAUAUCGAGAGGAACACCGGUGGCGAAGGCGGCCAACUGGACGAAGACUGGCGCUGAGACACGAAAGCGUGGGGAGCAAA